CCCUUAGAUGUUCUGGGCCGCACGCGCGCUACACUGAUGCGAUCAACGAGUUUUACCUUUCUCGGUAGAGAUGGGCAACCUUUUGAACUCGCAUCGUGAUGGGGAUAGAUUAUUGUAAUUAUUAAUCUUCAACGAGGAAUUCCUAGUAGGUGCAAAUCAUCAGUUUGCAUCGAUUACGUCCCUGCCCUUUGUACACACCGCCCGUCGCUGCUACCGAUUGAGUGUCCUGGUGAAUUAUUCGGACCGACAGCAUCGGAAGUUUCUUCUGUUGUCGUUGGAAAGUCUUGUAAACCCUGACACUUAGAGGAAGCAGAAGUCGUAACA
rnacentral:rRNA from 1 species